rnacentral:rRNA from 1 species
UGAGUUUGAUCCUGGCUCAGGAUGAACGCUGGCGGCGUGCUUAACACAUGCAAGUCGAACGGACGGAGAGGAGCUUGCUCCUCGAAGUUAGUGGCGGACGGGUGAGUAACGCGUGGGUAACCUGCCCUAUGCAGGGGGAUAACGUUUGGAAACGAACGCUAAUACCGCAUAAUCUGAUUUUUUCGCAUGAAGAGAUCAGCAAAGAUUUAUCGGCAUAGGAUGGACCCGCGUUGGAUUAGCUAGUUGGUGAGAUAACAGCCCACCAAGGCGACGAUCCAUAGCCGGCCUGAGAGGGUGAACGGCCACACUGGGACUGAGACACGGCCCAGACUCCUACGGGAGGCAGCAGUGGGGAAUAUUGCACAAUGGGCGCAAGCCUGAUGCAGCGANNNNGCGUGAAGGAUGAAGGUUUUCGGAUCGUAAACUUCUAUCAGCAGGGAAGAAACCAAUGACGGUACCUGACUAAGAAGCCCCGGCUAACUACGUGCCAGCAGCCGCGGUAAUACGUAGGGGGCAAGCGUUAUCCGGAUUCACUGGGUGUAAAGGGUGCGUAGGUGGCAUGGUAAGUCAGAUGUGAAAUUUAGGAGCUCAACUUCUAAGCUGCAUCUGAAACU